rnacentral:rRNA from 1 species
GACGAACGCUGGCGGCGUGCCUAACACAUGCAAGUCGAGCGAAAGGACCAGGAGUUUGCUUGUCUGAUGUUAGCGGCGGACGGGAGAGUCACAUGUGUAUACCCUACCUAUCAGACUGGGAUAAUUUCGGGAAACCGGAUCUUAUACCGGAUAAUAUUUUGCACCGCAUGGUUCAAAAGUGAGAUACGGUCUUUGUGUCACUAAUAGCUGGAUCCGCGCUGCAUUAGAUAGUUGGUAAGGUAAUGGCUUACCAAGGCUACGAUGCAUAGCCGACCUGAGAGAGUGAUCGGCCACACGGGAACUGAGACAGGGACCAGACGCCUACGAGAGGCAGCAGUAGGGAAUCUUACGCAAUGGGCGAGAGCCUGACGGAGCAACGCCGCGUGAGAGAUGAAGGUCCUGGGAUCGGAAAGCUCUGUUAUUAGUGGUGAACAGAUGUGGAAUUAACCGUGCAGAUAUUGACGGUACCGGGUCAAAAAGCCACGGCUAACUACGUG